AGUCGAACGGAAAGGCCCCUUCGGGGGUACUCGAGUGGCGAACGGGUGAGUAACACGUGGGUGACCUGCCCUGCACUUCGGGAUAAGCCUGGGAAACUGGGUCUAAUACCGGAUAGGACCGCAUCGUGAGGAUGUGGUGGAAAGUUUUUUCGGUGCAGGAUGGGCCCGCGGCCUAUCAGCUUGUUGGUGGGGUAAUGGCCUACCAAGGCGGCGACGGGUAGCCGGCCUGAGAGGGUGGACGGCCACAUUGGGACUGAGACACGGCCCAGACUCCUACGGGAGGCAGCAGUGGGGAAUAUUGCACAAUGGGCGCAAGCCUGAUGCAGCGACGCCGCGUGGGGGAUGAAGGCCUUCGGGUUGUAAACUCCUUUCAUCAUCGACGAAGGGCUCACUUGUUGUGGGUUUGACGGUAGGUGGAGAAGAAGCACCGGCUAACUACGUGCCAGCAGCCGCGGUAAUACGUAGGGUGCGAGCGUUGUCCGGAAUUACUGGGCGUAAAGAGCUCGUAGGUGGUUUGUCGCGUCGUCUGUGAAAUUCCGGGGCUUAACUCCGGGCGUGCAGGCGAUACGGGCAUAACUUGAGUGCUGUAGGGGAGACUGGAAUUCCUGGUGUAGCGGUGAAAUGCGCAGAUAUCAGGAGGAACACCGAUGGCGAAGGCAGGUCUCUGGGCAGUAACUGACGCUGAGGAGCGAAAGCAUGGGGAGCAAACAGGAUUAGAUACCCUGGUAGUCCAUGCCGUAAACGGUGGGCGCUAGGUGUAGGGGUCUUCCACGACUUCUGUGCCGUAGCUAACGCAUUAAGCGCCCCGCCUGGGGAGUACG
rnacentral:rRNA from 1 species